rnacentral:rRNA from 1 species
GCAAGUCGAGCGCUCACUUCGGUUGGAGCGGCGGACGGGUUAGUAACGCGUGGGAACAUACCCUUUACUAAGGAAUAGCCUCUGGAAACGGAGAGUAAUACCUUAUACGCCCUUCGGGGGAAAGAUUUAUCGGUGAAGGAUUGGCCCGCGUUAGAUUAGAUAGUUGGUGGGGUAACGGCCUACCAAGUCGACGAUCUAUAGCUGGUUUGAGAGGAUGAUC